rnacentral:rRNA from 1 species
ACGUAGGUGGCAAGCGUUGUCCGGAAUUAUUGGGCGUAAAGAGCAUGUAGGUGGGCUUUUAAGUCCGAUGUGAAAAUGCGGGGCUCAACCCCGUAUGGCAUUUGAUACUGGAAGUCUUGAGUGCUGGAAAGGAAAGGGGAAUUCCCAGUGUAGCGGUGAAAUGCUUAGAUAUUGGGAAGAACACCAAUGGCGAAGGCGGCUUUCUGGACUGUAUCUGACGCUGAGAUGCGAAAGCUAGGGUAUCAAACAG